rnacentral:rRNA from 1 species
UAGGGAAUCUUCGGCAAUGGACGAAAGUCUGACCGAGCAACGCCGCGUGAGUGAAGAAGGUUUUCGGAUCGUAAAACUCUGUUGUUAGAGAAGAACAAGGACGUUAGUAACUGAACGUCCCCUGACGGUAUCUAACCAGAAAGCCACGGCUAACUACGUGCCAGCAGCCGCGGUAAUACGUAGGUGGCAAGCGGUGUCCGGAUUUAUUGGGCGUAAAGCGAGCGCAGGCGGUUUCUUAAGUCUGAUGUGAAAGACCCCGGCUCAACCGGGGAGGGUCAUUGGAAACUGGGAGACUUGAGUGCAGAAGAGGAGAGUGGAAUUCCAUGUGUCGCGGUGAAAUGCGUAGAUAUAUGGAGGAACACCAGUGGCGAAGGCGGCUCUCUGGUCUGUAACUGACGCUGAGGCUCGAAAGCGUGGGGAGCAAACAGG